UUACGGCCAUAUCACGUUGAAACACUAGUUCACAUACGAUAACCGAGAUUAAUCAACGUCGAGCCUGGCUACUAGCUAGAUGGGUGACCGCUUGGGAAUACCAGGAAUUGUAAG